CACUGCCUUGGUGCAAGAAGUAAACAUCGCCCAAUAUUCCCCAGAAAUUCUUCAGCAAGCAAAACAGUGUACAAUAGGAAAAAAAAUAAUGCAGAUUUUAGUUCCUAAAAUAAACUUUAUGCAAUCACAGGAAGCAUUUAGAUCCUUUUCCCCUCUCUUGCAGGAAAAUGAAACAAUCUCUGGGCCACAGGAAAUAACACAAGUUUUAGAAAAUCCCCGUGGGAAGACAGAAAAAAACUUCAAGUGGAUCUCUGAGUCCCAUAAAUGACGUAAAGAAAAACAGAUGUUCAAAGGCUCAGUACUCCAACAAGAAGUAAUCGAUUUGUACCGGUGAGAGUGACGACUCCCUCCUAAGCUCGUGGAAACAGGACAGCAGAAAGCCACACACACUACAGUCAAUAUGUCUCCGUACAACUAGCUCCUGCUCUUAUUUUGGCAAAAAGAACAACUGCAAGAAGAGUGACAGCAAAAAGUGCUGAAGAAAGGAGGGAUGAGGGGUGGGAAAGAAGAAAAGUUGGACAGGACUCAUGUUAGGGUGCCAGCAGUUUCUGCUGAAAAUUAGCAACCACAUGGGCAUGGCAAUAUCGACGGCACAGCUUAAGAAAAGUCCCCAAUCCAAUACUAUACGUAUGUAAAAAUGCACAGCAUAAUGUAAUUGGGACGAAGAAAAAGUUUAUAGCAUGCUACAGUCUGAAUGUGUCCUCCCAAGAUUAACACUCCAAUGUGGUAUUAAGAGGAGGGGCCUUAGGGAGACGAUUAGUUCAUGAGAGCUCCACCCUCAUAAAUGAGAUUAGUGCCUUUAUAAAAGAGGCCUGAGGAAGCUCGGUCACCCCCUUCGCCUUCUGCCAUGUGGGAAUGCAGCAAGAAGACACCAUCUUGAAGCAGAGAAAAUAAGCCCUCAUGAGACACUAAAUCUGCUGGCAUCCCGAUCUUGGACUUCUCAGCCUCCAGAACUCCCCACAGCCAUCACCCUUUCUCAGAUCCUUGUUCCCUCAGAGCUGAAUCCUGUGAUGAUUUACUAGCGGUUCUUCCUGGUUUUGUUACUGAACGACACUCCUUUGGCCCAGCCCAACCCCACCACCUUGCAGGUUCCAUCACCACAUUGCUGAUUUCCAAAGGUCCUCUU
rnacentral:lncRNA from 10 species